UCAUUAAAUCAGCUAUUAUUUCUUAGACCAUAUACAUUUACUUGGAUAACUGUAGUAAUUCUAGAGCUAAUACAUGAAACAAUGCCUCAGUCUUAAUUGAUUGGGUGCGGAUUUAUUAGAACAAAACCAACCAAUUAUUGCUAGUUUAUUGCUAGUAUUAAUUGAAAUUAUUUGGUUACUCUAGAUAACUUACCUGAUCGCAUGGCCAUGAGCCGGCGACGUAUCUUUCAAGUGUCUGACCUAUCAACUGACGUUGGUGAGUUACUUGCUCACCAUGGUUAUAACGGGUAACGGGGAAUCAGGGUUCGAUUCCGGAGAGGGAGCCUUAGAAAUGGCUACCACAUCUAAGGAAGGCAGCAGGCGCGCAAAUUACCCACUCUCAGCAAGAGGAGGUAGUGACGAUAAAUAACAAUGCAGGACUCAUUAUGAGGCUCUGCAAUUGGAAUGAGUACAAUCUAAAUCCUUUAACGAGUACCAAUUGGAGGGCAAGUCUGGUGCCAGCAGCCGCGGUAAUUCCAGCUCCAAUAGCGUAUAUUAAAAUUGUUGCAGUUAAAAAGCUCGUAGUUGGAUCUCAGGUAAAAUGUAUCAGUAUGAUCUAUGAUCAUUACUGUUAUACAUUUGCCUUUAAUAAAAGUCGUAUGACUUAAUGUGGUUCUCUUAAAUGAGUGCUACAUAUAAAGCUCGACACGUUUACCUUGAAAAAAUCAGAGUGCUUAAAGCAGGCCUUUGUGCUUGAAUGUUGUUGCAUGGAAUAAUGGAAUAGGACUUCGGUUCUAUUUUGUUGGUUUUCGGAAUCUGAAGUAAUGAAAAAUAGAGACAGACGGGGGCAUUUCUAUGGCUGUGUUAGAGGUGAAAUUCUGAGAUCGCAGCCAGAGAAACUACUGCGAAAGCAUUUGCCAAGCAUGUCUUCAUUAAUCAAGAACGAAAGUCAGAGGUUCGAAGACGAUCAGAUACCGUCCUAGUUCUGACCUUAAACGAUGCCGACCGAUAAUCAGGAGUGGUUAUAGUUUUAAUAUUGACCCUCCUGGCUGUCCCUGGGAAACCUUCAGUUAGGUUCUGGGGGGAUUAUGGUCACAAGGUCGAAACUUAAAGGAAUUGACGGAAGGGCACCACCAGGAGUGGAGCCUGCGGCUUAAUUUGACUCAACACGGGGAAACUCACCCGGUCCGGACACUGUUAGGAUGGACAGAUUGAUAGCUCUUUCUUGAUUCAGUGGGUGGUGGUGCAUGGCCGUUCUUAGUUGGUGGAGUGAUUUGUCUGGUUAAUUCCGAUAACGAACGAGACUCUGUCCUGCUAACUAGUCCUGUAGCAUCUGCCACUCAUUAUGUAUGGGUUUGGCUACAGCUACAGCUGACUUCUUAGAGGGAUUCGCGGUACUCUCAAGCCGCACGAAAUAGAGCAAUAACAGGUCUGUGAUGCCCUUAGAUGUCCGGGGCCGCACGCGCGCUACAUUGACAGUAUCAGUAAGUAUUUACACCUGGUCUGAAAAGAUUGGGAAAUCUUUGAAUUACUGUCUCCUCAGGGAUUGAGGUUUGCAACUAUCCCUCAUGAACGAGGAAUUCCCAGUAGGCGCAAGUCAUCAGCUUGCGUCGAUUACGUCCCUGCCCUUUGUACACACCGCCCGUCGCUACUACCGAUUGAGUGGAUUAGUGAGGCCCUCGGAUUGAAAGCUUUAUGAUUAUAUAUAUAUAUAUGAUCAUUUUGUUUUUAAAAAGUGGGUCAAACUUGUUCAUUUAGAGGAAGUAAAAGUCGU
rnacentral:rRNA from 1 species